GGGCCCCAGAAUUUCUUGUGGUACCUCUGGUUCGGGCUUAAUUUCUAUCAUCUUACGCACCAUCAGUGAGCGCAGGAACGCACUGAAGAUUCAAUCAUUUUCCUCCACAAAAACAUGAAGACUAAUCUCUUGUUGAAGUCCAGGCAGACGGCCCGUAUGAAAGGGUCCCGCACCAGAGCCAAGGAAUGGCCACAAACAGUCAAAAAGUGCUGGUGGAGAAACUGAAGGCCUCCUGCUGUGGGGAAAGUACAGACCACAAAACAAAAAGUGGACGGGUGCUCCAGUGCCCCUCUGAGCUGCCAGUGGUAGCACAUGCGAUCCUGGAGAAGAUACAGAAUAGAAGAGGCAGAGAAUUGAGAGAAUAUGAGAUACAGAAUGUCUCUCAGAAGUCAGAUUGUGUUUCACAAGCUGCUCUUUUCUUAUAACAUGGAGUUAUUUGUAUGGCAGCAGUUUGGUAUCCGGUGUGUCAUAAUGCAAUGUGACAAUGCCCAAUGGAGAAGUCAUCAGAGAAAGUGCCAACAGAUUGUCCUGCAUUACUGUGUACUCACAAGUGUGCACCUGGUUUGCAAGGCAGACGCCACACACCUCUAUUACAAUUUACACGUUUCUUUGUUUCUCUAUACAGGAAGUCAGCUGUCAAGAUUUCAGGAGGAAGGAAAAGAAGCCAAA